AACGAACGCUGGCGGCAUGCCUAACACAUGCAAGUCGAACGAGACCUUCGGGUCUAGUGGCGCACGGGUGCGUAACGCGUGGGAACCUGCCCUUAGGUUCGGAAUAACUCCCCGAAAGGGGUGCUAAUACCGGAUAAUGUCUUCGGACCAAAGAUUUAUCGCCUUGGGAUGGGCCCGCGUUGGAUUAGCUAGUUGGUAGGGUAAAAGCCUACCAAGGCGACGAUCCAUAGCUGGUCUGAGAGGAUGAUCAGCCACACUGGGACUGAGACACGGCCCAGACUCCUACGGGAGGCAGCAGUGGGGAAUAUUGGACAAUGGGCGAAAGCCUGAUCCAGCAAUGCCGCGUGAGUGAUGAAGGCCUUAGGGUUGUAAAGCUCUUUUACACGGGAUGAUAAUGACAGUACCGGGAGAAUAAGCUCCGGCUAACUCCGU
rnacentral:rRNA from 1 species